rnacentral:rRNA from 1 species
UGCUUUGUGAUGCGCUCUCAAAGAGUCGAGUUGUUUGGGAAUGCAGCUCAAAAUGGGUGGUAAAUUCCAUCUAAAGCUAAAUAUUGGCGAGAGACCGAUAGCGAACAAGUACCGUGAGGGAAAGAUGAAAAGAACUUUGGAAAGAGAGUUAAACAGUACGUGAAAUUGCUGAAAGGGAAACGCUUGAAGUCAGUCGCGUUGGCUGGAAAUCAACCUUGCUUUUGCUGGGCGUACUUUCUAGUCAAUGGGUCAGCAUCAAUUUUGAUCAUUGGAAAAAGUUCAGUGGAAUGUGGCAUCCUCGGAUGUGUUAUAGCCUCUGUUCGUAUACAAUGGUUGGGAUUGAGGAAUUCAGCACGCCGCAAGGCCGGGUCUUUGACCACGUUCGUGCUUAGGAUGCUGGCAUAAUGGCUUUAAUCGACCCGUCUUGAAACACGGACCAAGGAGUCUAACAUGCCUGCGAGUGUUUGGGUGGAAAACCCGAGCGCGUAAUGAAAGUGAAAGUUGAGAUCCCUGUCGUGGGGAGCAUCGACGCCCGGACCAGAACUUUUGGGACGGAUCCGCGGUAGAGCAUGUAUGUUGGGACCCGAAAGAUGGUGAACUAUGCCUGAAUAGGGUGAAGCCAGAGGAAACUCUGGUGGAGGCUCGUAGCGAUUCUGACGUGCAAAUCGAUCGUCAAAUUUGGGUAUAGGGGCGAAAGACUAAUCGAACC